GGGUUGUGAGGUUAAGCGACCAAGCGUACACGGUGGAUGCCCUGGCAGUCAGAGGCGAUGAAGGACGUGCUAAUCUGCGAAAAGCGCCGGCGAGG
rnacentral:rRNA from 1 species